GUCACACUUCCCUUGGAAUACUCUGUGCAGAUUUAUGCAACGGGCCGUGUGGUAUUGUCAUUUUAUAGAUCUGAUGUCUCCUCUAGGCAUACAGGUUCAGACAUUUUCCUUAUAUGUGUACUUUAAGUUAUAUAGAUUUUCCUUGGGCACGGGGGGACCAGAACAUGAGAAAAUCGAUCUGCUCUUCAGAAGAUGCUCUGGCUUUGUUUGAGUGACAUUGCUUACUAUCCAUUUUCUGAGCUGUUUAUUUCUGAAUAUUUCAUUUCAUAGCAUUUAUCACCCCACCCCACCCCGACCAUUUUUUGUGUUUUUAUUCUGGUCAAGUUCCACUGAGGGUUGCAAACCAUACUGCCAAACACACACACACCCCACCACACACUUCUGGUUGUCUUUUGGGGAGAUGCUUGGGAAACACUUAAAUUGCUGCCACUCAACUAUUUCAUAUCAGACGAUAUUAAACUGAUCACAAAGCAAUUGCCUCAUCCCUCUGCCAGUGGGCAUCACAAUCCCGUCCUUGUUGGCCUCCCCCCUUUUGACCAUAUAUGGUUUCUUUAAAAGCCCCUCUCAAUAUGGCCUGCCUCUUUCUGCUGUCACAAGGAGAGCAACCACAGCCCCUCCCACUUCUGCCCACAUCAUAAUACUCCACUGUCCUCUGAGCUCCAUAAAAGCAGCCCACCUUUGCUGAGCAGCUAAGUCUCCCUGGGGGGGGGGAGAGGGGAAACGGUUAAUGUUCCCCCUUUGCCCCCGUGGGAUGUGGGAGGGCGGCCGAAGUCCUGGGCUUUUUCCGCAAUCUCAGUCCCUGUAGGGGAUCCAGAUUUCUGGUAGAGGACGCCGAGCUGUCUCCCCUAGACCCCUGCAGGCUCCUUCGGGAGCUCCUACUGGCCACGACCGUCUAAUGUGCCCCUCUCGGGCAAAAGGGCUGAAGCGGGGUCUCCCCCUCCCUGUAAGAAGAAGCUCCCCAAGCAGCUCGAAGACCCAGCUCCCAAAGGCAUGGUCCUCUUGGUUGAGCCAGAGUAGCUCAAGCUGUGUCUGGAUGGGGUCAUCCAUUGGUGGUCCUGCCCCAACACAGAUUGACCAAGGCCCACUGUUUAACCUGGCCCUGCAGGCCUGGCUGGUUGCCGCUUUUUGGAGCCGAGAAGGAAUUUUCCCCUGGGAGGUCUCUGGAUCCCCAGGUUUUUUGCCUUCUCUGCACGGCCUUCCUCUUCAGCUCUGCAAGCUCCUUGGCUUGCCGCUGAAGACGAGUCAACCCGUGGGUCUUUCCCCCUCCCUCCCACCCCCAAAUAAAAUAGAAAUUAAUCUGA